GAUGAACGCUGGCGGCGUGCCUAAUACAUGCAAGUCGAGCGAACGGACGAGAAGCUUGCUUCUCUGAUGUUAGCGGCGGACGGGUGAGUAACACGUGGAUAACCUACCUAUAAGACUGGGAUAACUUCGGGAAACCGGAGCUAAUACCGGAUAAUACUUUGAACCGCAUGGUUCAAAAGUGAAAGACGGUCUUGCUGUCACUUAUAGAUGGAUCCGCGCUGCAUUAGCUAGUUGGUAAGGUAACGGCUUACCAAGGCAACGAUGCAUAGCCGACCUGAGAGGGUGAUCGGCCACACUGGAACUGAGACACGGUCCGGACUCCUACGGGAGGCAGCAGUAGGGAAUCUUCCGCAAUGGGCGAAAGCCUGACGGGGCAACGCCGCGUGAGUGAUGAAGGUCUUCGGAUCGUAAAACUCUGUUAUUAGGGAAGAACAUAUGUGUAAGUAACUGUGCACAUCUUGACGGUACCUAAUCAGAAAGCCACGGCUAACUACGUG
rnacentral:rRNA from 1 species